rnacentral:lncRNA from 1 species
AUUGCAGGAUGUUUCAUUUCCUGAUUUUAACAAGUAUUCUCAACAUUGAUUGCGGCACCUUCAUCAAAGCAGAGGUUACAUGGUGAUGGUGAUUUAAGUGAUCAUAAUCAUGAUCUCAAAGUUGAGAUGUGUACUUCUUUGGCAUUGUUAUUUUCUUUCAUAGACUUUAUUCCAGUGUGCAAUUGACUUUCGCAUCUGUGAAUUAAGUUUUUUCUUUCCAUUUUUUGGCGUCAAGGCCAUAACCCACUCGUGGUUGUUGAAAUUUGUUUUCCC